CGUCAUCGCGCCUUCUCGUUUUCUCCUUCCGUAGAUCAAUUUAGGAUGAUUUUGGUGCAAGGUUUGGGCAUUUCUAAUUUAUUUUGUAUUUUGCGGUUACGCGUCUUGAAAAAAGAACAGGCUACUUUGGCAUUAUGGCUUCAGCUUCAGAAACAUCACAGCUUGCUGAGAUUCUCAGAGAAGCACAUUCUCUGGCAGGAGAAC